rnacentral:rRNA from 1 species
AAUGAACGUUGGCGGCGUGGAUUAGGCAUGCAAGUCGAGCGAGAACCCAGCAAUGGGGGACAGCGGCGAAAGGGACAGUAAUGUGUAGAUUAUCUGCCCUCGGGUCCGGGAUAGCUGCGGGAAACUGCAGGUAAUACCGGAUAACAUCUCCGGGAUCAAAGGUGUGAUUCCGCCCGAGGAUGAGUCUGCAUCCUAUUAGCUUGUUGGUGGGAUAAUGGCCUACCAAGGCUUUGAUGGGUAGCGGGUGUGAGAGCACGACCCGCGUCAUUGGGACUGAGACACUGCCCAGACACCUACGGGUGGCUGCAGUCGAGAAUCUUCGGCAAUGGGCGCAAGCCUGACCGAGCGACGCCGCGUGUGGGAUGAAAGGCC